rnacentral:rRNA from 1 species
GACGAACGCUGGCGGCGUGCUUAACACAUGCAAGUCGAACGGAAAGGCCCUGCUUUUGUGGGGUGCUCGAGUGGCGAACGGGUGAGUAACACGUGAGUAACCUGCCCUUGACUUUGGGAUAACUUCAGGAAACUGGAGCUAAUACCGGAUAGGAGCUCCUGCUGCAUGGUGGGGGUUGGAAAGUUUCGGCGGUUGGGGAUGGACUCGCGGCUUAUCAGCUUGUUGGUGGGUAGUGGCUUACCAAGGCUUUGACGGGUAGCCGGCCUGAGAGGGUGACCGGCCACAUUGGGACUGAGAUACGGCCCAGACUCCUACGGGAGGCAGCAGUGGGGAAUAUUGCACAAUGGGCGGAAGCCUGAUGCAGCAACGCCGCGUGCGGGAUGACGGCCUUCGGGUUGUAAACCGCUUUCGCCUGUGACGAAGCGUGAGUGACGGUAAUGGGUAAAGAAGCACCGGCUAACUACGUG